GCGCUCCGGAUGAGUAUAUUUAGAGUAAAAUUUGCUAACACCCUUCACACAGACACACGCUCCGCUCUGUCUCUUUCUCUUAGCUGGAGCUGAAAAUUCCGGAGCUCAUUCCUCACGUAAGAUUAGUGCCUAAGGCUUCAUCAUUAGUGUCUCAUUUGUUUCUUAUCUGACUAAAGCUCUGUGAGAUGGUCACUGACAAAUCCCUCCAAUUGUAAAGCACGCCACUCAGAGACGUCAGUAGUAUGUUACGGUGCGGACUCUUCUCGACAAUUUUUGUGGGAGAGUACGUGGGUUCCAAGCAGCUUAAUAUGAUUCCCACAUCUACUUACAUUCGGAAACGGAGAAAAGCUAUUGUUGAUGGCGUCUCUGGUAGCUCGGAAGUUGGUUUCUCGGAUUCGAAACCCGAUUUUGCUGAGUUUCGGCAUGUCGCUCUACAGGAAGUGGUGAAUGGGGUGAGGAAGCCGGAUUCUAGACUAAGAGAUGGGAAGAAGGUGAAAAAGGAAUAUGGGGUGAGGGGAGGAGCUCCUGGGGUGCACAAGCUUGAAAGUGCUCGUAAAAUUGAGAUUUUCAGCGGUGGCGUCGAUGUUGAGAGAGAAACGGCAAAAGUUGCGGGUGAUACCGCAGCAGUGGAGGGAAGGUGUGAAGCCCUUCUGAAGGUUAUGGACGACAUGGCAUCGGCGCUUGAUCCUCUCAGUUUCAACUCCUCAGUUGCAUUUGUAUACAAUCCGCUUCAUUAUGCAAGGAAACCUCAUGAGGAGUACGUGCGCAAAUAUGGGGGCAAGGAAGUAGAGUGCUUGCUUGUGGGUAUGAACCCAGGUCCUUUUGGAAUGGCUCAGACAGGAGUACCAUUUGGUGAUAGUGUGCUUGUUCGCGAAUUUCUCCACAUAAGUAGCGAGGUUGAUCCUCCGGAAAUAAUGCAUCCCAAGAGGCCCAUUAUUGGUCUGAACUGCCCUCGCCGUGAGGUGAGCGGACAACGGCUAUGGGGUUGGGCUCAAGCUCGGUUUGGUACAGCUAGUGCAUUUCUGGAUCAAUUUUGGAUCCAUAACUACUGUCCUCUGUUGUUUAUGGAGUCGUCGGGCAAGAAUCGCACUCCAGACAAAUUGAGUAAGGCCGAGAGAGCUUCAAUCGCCGAUGUUUGUAACGUAGCACUUCGGGCUGUCAUUGACAUGACAAAACCCCGGUUGAUUGUGGGUAUAGGAAAAUACGCGGGUGAGAGAAUCAAACAAUGUGCUCCUCCUGGGAUUCAGGUGGGAGAUAUUCUACAUCCAAGUCCUGCUAAUCCGAAGGCGAAUAAGGAUUGGGACAAACAGAUUGAGGCCCAGCUGCGGGCUUUGGGUGUGGAUAUAUAGUCUUUUGUUAUAAUCCCAGUGGAUAGGAUUUCUCCGACGGCACGGAAUCAUGCCAUAGUGGUAGGGCUGCCGAAUGGCUUUUGAUCAGGUUGAACUAAGUGAACUCCUGUUUGUCGAUGCUCAGGUACCAUUCUUUGAGAAUUUUUAUGCUGAUUGGCUGGGUCACGUCGCCAGACCACCCCGUGUAGCACAACAGUGCACCAGAACUAUUUCAGCACUCAGAUUGAAAUGUUCGACAAGGCAAGUUUGUAAAAACGUCUCACGCUAUUGCUUUUGGUGAUAUUCAAACGUAGUAAUAUUUCGGUGCCCUCGGAAGGCUUUUGAUUAGAGCUUAAAACGGCUUUAUUAUUUACAGUUUAAAAAAAAUCAAAAGACGUUUUUUUUAAAAAAAAGAUUAAAGCCAACAUACAGCCAACAUAGAUAUAUUUCUUUUCGAAGCAUGUGUCUGAUGUUUUUAUUCAUGUUAAAACAUGUAUGUGCAAGACCUGAAACUUUGAAAUCA